UACGAAGGGGGCUAGCGUUGCUCGGAAUCACUGGGCGUAAAGCGCACGUAGGCGGAUUGCUAAGUCAGGGGUGAAAUCCUGGAGCUCAACUCCAGAACUGCCUUUGAUACUGGCGACCUUGAGUCCGGGAGAGGUGAGUGGAACUGCGAGUGUAGAGGUGAAAUUCGUAGAUAUUCGCAAGAACACCUGUGGCGAAGGCGGCUCACUGGCCCGGUACUGACGCUGAGGUGCGAAAGCGUGGGGAGCAAACAGG
rnacentral:rRNA from 1 species